GGCGCCGCGGGGCGCGGGGCGGGGCGCACGACGGGCAGCGUGAGCAGCAGCUGCCGGCGGGCUCGGUGGAACUGCGCAGUGCCGCGGCUGUCGUCCACGGGGUCUCCUGUGUGCCUGGCAGCUGUGCCUCUGGGCUGAGGACAUGAAAACAACAAGCAAGUUCAUCCUGAGAGCACAGGGACUAGUGAGAGAAGUGUCAAGAGGACCCCCACAACAGAGGACCCCAGGCAGAGGGGCCACCCAACAACAUCCCAAAGGAUGAAGAAGACUCUGCUGUCACUUUGAGUUUCUGUGACCUCCAGUGAAAAAGCCCUAACAACACAGACUUUGUGUGCCAAGUCGAGAAGUUUAUCUUCCAGAUAAUGGAGAACAAAGAUUCUGAAGUAGGAUAAUAAUAAAAAUCAGAUUCACUUUCAGGAAGACAACUGCAAUAAAAAUAUGAAUGGACUAAAAGUCAACCCUUUUAUUUCACAGACAAGAAAAAAUGAGGCUCAGAAGGGUUAAGUGACACACCCAAAAUAAUAUGGUAGGCUUUAAAACAUAAUUUGUACAAAGAAAGAAAAAGGAAAUGUGGUAUUUACUGCACGUCUUCUCUGUGCGAGGCACUGUGCCAAGUGUGGCAGAGGAAAUAAACAAGGAGCCUGCUGUCUGAUAACAGGGACAAGCGCAAGGCAGGGCCAAGUCCAGUAAGCGACGUACAUGUAUACUGGAGAUGUCAGUGGAUUGAAAGCAGGAAGAGACUGCAUCAAACUGGAGGUUGAAUGCAAGAGGGCUUCAGAAAGGAGGAGGAAUUUGAGAACGGCCUUCCGGAAUUAGGAGGGUUUCAACAACAGAGAGGAGAGAGAAGAGCAGCCUGGAGAGUGGACAGUAUAAGCAAAGUCACAGGACAAGUGCAGAAACAGAAACAAUGAUUCCGUAUUUCAGCUUUGGCUCCAGCACAGAGUAUGCUUAGAGUAAAAGUAGAGAUUAGGCCAAAAAUGUGUGACGGAAGAUGUCAAAUAUUAAGUACAAUCUGUAUGUAACUCACUAGGCAGUAAAAUUCCUUGAAAGACUUCUGUGGAAAAUCAUGACAAGCGCAGAGCUACGCUUUGGGAAGAUGAACGUGGCCAUGUCACGCAGGAGCACCUAACUUAAGUAACAGGCCUGCAGAGUGACAAAAGGGACCAUAAAGGACCGGGUCAAAGCCAGAAGUCAAGUGCAGAAAGACGGCGGUGACAGCUCCACAGGGGCAGAGCUGUGAGAGUCUCCAGCGGAACUAGAGGUCCCGCCCGGCCCGGGAAGAAGCGCUCGCAGCAGCCUGGCCCGUAAUGCGGGACAUCUGCAUGUGGAAUCCGCCUUUCUCCUUCAGCUACAGACCUAACUGAGGAUGCAGACCUACACAAACAGCUGAAGCGCUAUCAGAAGACGUCACCUACAGGGCUGCUUUUCAACCGCGUCGAUGAUCUUUUCCAGCGCAUCUUCAAGCUCUACUUCACUGACAGACUGAAGAGCCUCUGUGAGGUACUUAAUCGCCUCACUGAUAAGAGAGGGAAAGAAAAGACAAGGCAGGUCAGUGGUAAUUAAGGCUAAAAGUUUUAUGCCAAAACUAGCAAACACGCAUCCAUCUGGAUUGAAAGUAGACCCACUCUCUCCUCCCUGCAAGGAGGGCUCAACUUUCCUGUGCUUCCUGGACAAAUUCUUCCUUCGAUCCCCUGCCAACAUCACCGUUCUUACAGCCCCGAAGCACGUCCUUCUACGAAGAAGCCUUCCUAGUCCAGCCCACUGCUGCCGUCUCCCCUCCCUCCUGAAACGGUUAAAAUCCCCCUUUCCCACACCUUAGAGCUGAUAGCACAGUCACCUCGUACUAGUCAUUGCCUCACAUUUAAGGCAGGGCUCCGUCUGCUUCAAUGUUCUGAACAUAACACUCAAACAUGUACUUAUUAAGCUGAUAAUGCAUUCCCUUAAAGUAAAUUCCAGUAAUUUCAAUAGUAAAAUCAGAAAAACACUAGGCUACAGAAAACUUUGACAUUUGGAUAUGGUCAUAGAAGCAACGCUCAUGUUAAAAUCACAUGAAUCGGGGCUGUGGCCGAGUGGUUAAGUUCUCUCGCUCCGCUGCAGGUGGCCCAGUGUUUCGUUGGUUCGAAUCCUGGGCGCGGACAUGGCACUGCUCAUCAAACCACGCUGAGGCAGCGUCCCACAUGCCACAACUAGAAGGAUCCACAACGAAUAUACAACUAUGUACCAGGGGGCUUUGGGGAGAAAAAGGAAAAAAGUAAAUAAAAUCUAAAAAAAAAAUCUAAAAUCACAUGAAUCCCCUCACCUAAAAAAAACUCAAUAAAGCUGAAAUUUAAAUUUAAAAAUGACAUGAAUCCCUGAUUUAAAUAUCACUGCUCAGAAUGAGCACUGCCUACUUAAUUAGCUCAUUACAUGCCAUUCUGUAUUCACAGCACACCACUUUACACUUUACGUCAAUAUUAUUGUUGGAGUCAUCACACGACUUGUUCUAUACCUCUGGUUGCUUAUUGAAUGUUUCAUGUGUGGCUGCCACACCCCUCCAAUUUAGUAUAGAUGAUGCUUCUUGAGAACCGGAGCUGUGUCAUCCUUUGUCAGAGUGCUAAGAACACUCAAGGUGGCCCAUAAACACUUGAUGAUUAAGUCCCUACAAUCACACACUUAUUGGGUGAAUCCUGGGACAGCUCUUAGGAUCUUAGGGCCUUCUCAAGGCCCGUGAAGCCAUAUAGGCGCUGGCCCCUGCUGAAUCUCACUAGACUCAGCCAGCAUCUCUGGCCUUCCUGGGGCUCUCCUGCCGCCGGGGCUUGACAUGGUCAUUUCCCCUCAUUCUUCCCUUCACCUACUCAAGUCCUGCUCAUCCUUCAACACUCAGCUCAAACCACUUCUUCAAUGAAGCCUGCCUUGACUCCAGAGCAGCCACCUUGUUAUACAUUAUCACAGAACUUCUUUCACAAUUGAACUUAAAUUGUGAAUUAUUUAAUGUCCACAGUAGACAGAGUUCUAAGAUGACUCCUAAUGAUCCACGCCUCCUGGUAAUCACACCCAUGUGCAAUCCUCUCCCCUUGAGUGUGGGCUGGACCUAGUGACUUGCUUCUAACAAUAGAAUAUAGCAAUUGUGAUGAAACAUUUUACUGUAUUGUAAUUUUAAAAAUAAAAUUUCUAAAGUGACAAAAUGUCACUUCCUUGAUUAGGUUACAAAAGACUGUGACUUCUGUCUUGCUGGCAGAACUCUUGCUGGCUUUGGUGAAGCAACCUGCCAUGUUAGAAGGGCCGACAUGGCAAGGAACUGAGGGAGGCCUCCAGCAAACAGCCAGCAAGGACUGAGGCCCUCAGUCCAACAAUCCUGACAGCCACUGAAUGAGCUUGGAAGCAAAGCCUGCCCAAGUGACAUCUGACAUGACCCCAUCUUGACGGCAGUCCCGUGAGAGACCCUGAAGCUGAGGACUCAGCUAAGCCAACCUGAAUUCCCGAACCACAGAAAAUGUGAGAAAAUCAGUGUGUAUUGUUUUAAAUCUCUAAGUUUUGGGGUAACUUGUUACGCAGCCAUAAAUAACUAAUACACUAUCUGCCCUGGGAGCUCCACAAUGUCUUACUCUCUCUUGUCCUUCCUUGCCCCAGAACAGGGCUUUGCUGCUAACAGAUCUCAGAGUAUUUCUGACUGAGUUAAUUAAUGAAUGACAGCUUAAUAUUAAGUCAAAUUCUAAGUCAAAAAAAA